rnacentral:hammerhead_ribozyme from 1 species
AUCCAGCUAACGAGUCCCAAAUAGAACUUGACGCGUGUCCUGGAU